CGACCGCUGGCGGCAUGCCUACCACAUGCACGUCGAACGAGACCUUCGGGUCUAGUGGCGCACGGGUGCGUAACGCGUGGGAACCUGCCCUUAGGUUCGGAAUAACUCCCCGAAAGGGGUGCUAAUACCGGAUAAUGUCUUCGGACCAAAGAUUUAUCGCCUUUGGAUGGGCCCGCGUUGGAUUAGCUAGUUGGUAGGGUAAAAGCCUACCAAGGCGACGAUCCAUAGCCGGUCUGAGAGGAUGAUCAGCCACGCUGGGACUGAGACACGGCCCAGACUCCUACGGGAGGCAGCAGUGGGGAAUAUUGGACAAUGGGCGAAAGCCUGAUCCAGCAAUGCCGCGUGAGUGAUGAAGGCCUUAGGGUUGUAAAGCUCUUUUACCCGGGAUGAUAAUGACAGUACCGGGAGAAUAAGCUCCGGCUAACUCCGUG
rnacentral:rRNA from 1 species